GAUUUCGAGACUUCUACCAGAUUUAAAUGAGCAAAUACAGGCGAUAAACCAAAUCUCUUUAUUUUGUAAUAAAGAAGAUUCUUUUGGUGCUGUGUUAGCACAAAGAGUAGUGAAAGCAACAAAUCCUGCUGAAUGGUGGAUCCAUUAUGGUACAUCGGCUCCGGCACUCCAAAAAGUGGCUGUGAGAGUAUUGAGCCAAACCACGUCUUCUUCUAAUUGUGAACGCAAUUGGAGUACAUUUAGCCUGAUACAUACAAAGACAAGGAAUCGGUUGAAGUAUAAAAAAUUAAAUA